rnacentral:tRNA from 1 species
UAGGACGUACUAAAUAGAAAUGCACCUCCCUUACACUGAGAAGACACUCGUGCAAAUCGAGUCGUCCUAA